CCUACGGGUGGCAGCAGUGGGGAAUAUUGCACAAUGGGGGCAACCCUGAUGCAGCGACGCCGCGUGAGUGAUGAAGUAUUUCGGUAUGUAAAGCUCUAUCAGCAGGGAAGAAAAUUACGGUACCUGACUCAUAAGCCCCGGCUAACUACGUGCCAGCAGCCGCGGUAAUACGUAGGGGGCCAGCGUUAUCCGGAUUUACUGGGUGUAAAGGGAGCGUAGACGGCUAAUCAAGUCAGAAGUGAAAACCCAGGGCUCAACCUUGUGAUUGAUUUUGAAAGUGAGUAGCUAGAGUGCAGGUGAGGUAAGCGGAAUUCCUAGUGUAGCGGUGAAAUGCGUAGAUAUUAGGAGGAACACCAGUGGCGAAGGCGGCUUACUGGACUGUAACUGACGUUGAGGCUCGAAAGCGUGGGGAGCAAACAGGAUUAGAUACCCCAGUAGUC
rnacentral:rRNA from 1 species